UGAAAAGUCAGGCACUCAGCUAAAGGACGCACCCGCUCUUGAUGUCAUACUGUGAGGCACAACAUCAUGGAAAUAAAGAGAGCGAAAAGCAUGCAACUGGGAUAGCUUCAUAUAUGAAAUGCAGCACAGAGGAGCCAAAGGCGGAAGCUGAGCUGAGAAGAGACUGUACAAAGCCUCUAGUCAGCUGGAAUCUAUCCGAAACAUUCCACAGGUUUAUCUCCUUCAGCAGGGAGUACAGCACUAAGGCCAGGUACAACCGGUUUACCACCAUAAUGUCCACAGACUGAAAUACAGGACCAGGAUACUCUCACCCAUGGCAUCAAUACCUGCUCGUCCUGCUCUCCCCACCAUCUGUUUGUACUGACUUCUCUUUAAAAAAUCUGCAGCUAUGUACGGGGAACGUAGGAUCACCCUGAGAAUUAGCAAAUGCACAAGAGAGAUAACGAAACCCCUUUUAAAAGUAAAAAAUUAAAAUAAAAAUACAAAAAUAAAUUGUCCGGGUUUAGGCUAUUCUGUUUUGGCAUGUCUAGAAUACUUUUUUGUCUUUUAUAUCAUUGUGAAUAAGGGCAUAUAAGGAGAGAAAUAGCUGAUUUUAGAAAGUGCUUUUACU